rnacentral:rRNA from 1 species
AUUGAACGCUGGCGGAAUGCUUUACACAUGCAAGUCGAGCGGCAGCGCGGGGCAACCUGGCGGCGAGCGGCGAACGGGUGAGUAAUACAUCGGAACGUGCCCAGACGUGGGGGAUAACUACUCGAAAGAGUGGCUAAUACCGCAUACGAUCUAAGGAUGAAAGCGGGGGAUCGCAAGACCUCGCGCGUCUGGAGCGGCUGAUGUCGGAUUAGCUAGUUGGUGGGGUAAAGGCCCACCAAGGCGACGAUCCGUAGCUGGUCUGAGAGGAUGAUCAGCCACACUGGGACUGAGACACGGCCCAGACUCCUACGGGAGGCAGCAGUGGGGAAUAUUGGACAAUGGGCGAAAGCCUGAUCCAGCCAUGCCGCGUGAGUGAUGAAGGCCUUAGGGUUGUAAAGCUCUUUCAGUGGGGAUGAUAAUGACAGUACCCACAGAAGAAGCCCCGGCUAACUUCGUGCCAGCAGCCGCGGUAAAUGACG